AAAUGUGAUUGGUGGUGAUCAAAUGGGCUAACCUGGCCUAAAUUUCAAAAAUAUUUGUUUAUAAAAAGAAAAAAUCUGAACGGAGCCGAUACCUUAAAAAUUACUUCGACUGUCGGCGUAUUUCAGGCGCUAAACCAAAACAAGAAUAGACAAGCCUCAAAUAGACCUUUAAAAGACGUUUAUACGGGUCUAGUGUUUGGAGCCAUGUAACAGUAGCAUUAAGGCACAUUUUCGUUCAUUCCACUAAAACGUCGAGCUCAUAAACCCGUGACGAAACACAGAAUCUCUUUUGAUGACUCAAAGCAGCCACGAUUACUGCAUUCCUUUAAAAGCAGCGUUGGAAAUAGUCUUGUUUUCAUGUCAGGAGCGCAAAGCCACCAGGCUGCAUAAAGCAAAGAUUUAUUGGACGGACAUUGCCACACUUGCUUGGGGUGGGUGGGUGGGAGGGGAAUGAGCUUCCCAAUGUAUUUCUAUUAUCCUUCCUACCUGAAAUGGUCAUGGAGCAAGCAUAAACACUGUUACAAUCGACCUUUUACAACGAAAUCUAUUUGCCAGCGUUAUUAUGCUGAUGGGAAUGCUAUUGAGCUGCUCUCUUCCCUUAUUUGUGCUCAGUUUCAUAUGGCUCUUCUAGAAGAAUCUGUAAAAGCACCAUUCAGGAGAUCCCCCCCACCCCCCUUUUUUUUAUUCGUCUGGAAGUACAUGGGGUAUUUUUCGUCCACAAAAAUAUAUAUCUGUAUGUGGCUUAUUGAGUAAGAAGAGGGGAAGUAGAGAAGGAGAAGAAGUGGAAGGCCUCUCUCUCAGUUUGUUGCUUAUAUACCAAACAAAGAGUCCUGGAAGCCUGUGCGCGAUCAAUCUUACUCGCCAAAAGGUCUGACAGCUCGGUGCCCUCACAACACAUUUAAGGCUUCUAACUCUCCCCCGGAUCAAAUGCAGCCAGGAAGCGCCGAGAAACAGUGGUCACUCAGAUUAGAACCGGUUUCUGCUCGCACUGGUAGUCUGUUUGUCGCUGGAGGGAUUUUUUUUCUUUCUUUUUAAGAACAAGAAAAAAAAAAAGGAAUCUAGUCACACAAGAUGCGACCAUUGCCUCUCUAAGAGCCAUCGAACCCUCCACGAAGACCCGGGUGACAUUUUUAUUAUUAUGGAUGUGCCCACGCAGAUGAGAGAGACGCGCUGGGAAAGAGAAGGGGGCCCACCUUCAAGGAAGAGAGAGUAAAUAGAUCAAAUGUUUUUUUUUUUCUUUUUUUCUUUUAAUCUGCGAUUUGUUCUUUUUUUUUUUUUUUUUUAAAAAGAGAUUUAAUGCGGAGCAGUUUGGACUCUUUAAAUUAGUUUUAGAAAUUUCUGGUAGGACUUUAAUUUGUGAAAUGUACUUCUUGAAUAUAAUAUUUGUAGUUUAAAAAGAGCGUUAUGUUUUAUGCUGCUUUACCGAUGAUUCCAUACCAUCGCUGAUAACCCCUUUUCAUUUUCAGAUAUCUAUUUUUGGGGUUAAAUUAAACAGCAUUAUGUGAUCAUGUAAAUGUGAAACUGCUUGCAAAUUUUAAAAUUAAAACGGGUGGAUCUGUUUUUUUAUGUUGUUUUGUUCUGUUUGUUUUUUUUUUCACAUCAAUGCUUUUAUUUGUUUCUUCGAACUGGAGCACCGUGGAAUGUUUGACAUCGAGAAGAAGAAAAAAAAAUGAUGAUGUGUUUUGCUUUUUAUUCAAUAAAGAAACUGCAAACGUGUGUCCUUCUUUCCACCCUUAUUGCAUGACUGAUUGGUUUCUUUUUUCAUUCGCUGACAAAACAGAAACACCUCCUCGAAUAAUAAUAAUAAUAAUACUAAGAAAGAAACAAAUUGGAAAACCUGCAAUCUAAGUGACAUGGCUGCAUAUAUGGGCCGAACAUGGCACUAGUUUCUCCACCAACCUUCUCCCCUUGCAGACAGAGAUGGAGGGGCGUCAAAUAAUACUAUUGGAGUCUGAAUAAAUAACAUUUAAAAAGACCAAUGGAACAAAACAGAAGCAAAAGGGGAGGCUGUGCAAGUUCAUGACCCUUUGUUUUAAAUGUAAUCUCCUCACAUUCCCAGCUCCUGGCUCUUAAUGUUCGUUUUGUACACAAGUGCAACAGAAUGCAAAAAAAA